GUUUGGAGUAGGAGGCUGAAGCAAAGCUCUGGGUGUUGAAGAAAGGGAGUUUCUGGAAGCAGCUCAGGUCAAUGUGAACUGGGACCCGGGACCUUCAACAGCAGCUGCUAGAUUCAACGGAGAUGGAGCUUUGUCAGAUGCAUCCUUCUCGCAUUCAUUAGAGUGGGAAUCUGACCUCGGGGAACUUGGACAAACCAGGCAGAAAGCAUCACUGCUUGAACCUUAAAGGAUGCUUCUCUUCAAAAGCAGCCCUCCUCUCCUUCCUGUAACGGUCCAUGGACUUCUGCCCUGCUUUUCCAGGUCUCCAAUCCAAUCUGCACACAGACCACUACCCAUAGCUAUGGGCUGGCCCAAACUGCGUUUCAAUCCUCCAUCUUUGUGAAGUAUCCCAUUGUACCAGGUCUUAUCCCACACAGAAAAAAAUCUCAGCACCGUCCUGUCCAGUGCCCCAUUUCUGCCCAGCAGCUGGUUUUACAAUGUUUAGUUGCUUUUUUCCAUUACCACAUCAGUCCUUCAGGAAGAGCAAGGUUAGCUCAACACUUGUGGAUUUAGAAGCCCAAACAUAGAUUAAUUUCUUGAGUGACAGGAGCAGCAAUAGCAGCCACAAUCCAAGCGCCAAAGCAAGUGAAGUGAUUUUUUGGAAUGGCACCAGCAGCAGCUGCCUGUUUCUGAGGUGAUGCUGUUUUUCCAGCACAGAGGAAAUAUGUAUUUGCAGAAUAAGACUGUCCCAUACACAGUACAUGCAAGGGCACACCCCAUGGGCAUUGUAAUACCCUCUUCCUCCAUGGGCAUGCCCUGGCCCCACUUCUGCGGUACCAGAAUGCUGUCUGCAGAAAUGGCAUUGAUCCCUCCACUUACUUUAUUUCUAGAUCACCAAAGUUCAUUUCAACCACAGUGAGGAUUUUCAGUUUGCCAUGUCCACUCUCUCUUCACCUGUCCUCCAUCAUUAUAAAAUAGGUGCUAAAUUAUUAUGUCCAGAAAUGACACACAGCUGCCCUGGUCCAAUCCCCCUUGCCUAAUGCAAGAAGGUGCAGCUCCAUCGGACUUAGGGGGUUUCAUGCCAGGGCUGAUUUUUGGCUGGAGGGGUUUUUAUACUCUAGUGCUGUGCAGGAGUUUUAAUUUUUUUUGCUUGCACCUGUUGCUUGGUAGAAGAGCCAGCUUUAUUGGCCUUGCCGUGUAUGAAAACCCAAGAUCUCAUGAAGAAGCUUUCCACAAGUCAACAAAGAUCGCCCCAUUCUAGAUUUCAUACACAUUAGGGCUAGAAGGGACCUCGCUAGAUCAUCGGGUCUAGCCCCCUGCCUGAAGGGCAGGAGGUGAGCUGGGGUCAGAGGGGUCAAAGGAGAUGGUCAUUAGAGGAAAAGGACCAAAUGGAGAACUAGGGCCAAGUGAGGUAAAAAGAUAAGUGUUAUAUAAGGGUCAAAGACACAGAAGGAACAUGAGUGACACUGAACAGAGAAUAUAAAGGUGCCUGGUAUCUGUUGAGCUGAUUGGUGGGCAAACCCAGCAAAGUAACCUGAUUUCUUGGCUAAAAGAGAAGCCACAUAAGACAGACAUCAGCUAUAUGCGAGAAAUUAUGAGCACACGUGAAUGAGGCUCAGGUCAUGGAGUCAAAAGGUGAGACCCUGCGGGGAGACCGUGGAUGUAAAGGAACUGGAAUGAAAAUCCUGGAGAAUGAAAUCCUAAUUCUGUGCACACAAAAUGCACAAUGGGAGCAGCUUCCAGCCCUUGGUCCCUCCCAGUAAGCAAACUGGAGGGACAACCUCACAGUAUCAGAGGGCAGUUGACUGAUUUACUGUAACCGUAUCACAUCCUAGACAGUUCAUGGUACCGACAAGUAACACCCAGCCCCUGGAUCUGAAGGGUUUAUAGUCUAGUCUCAUGCAUGAUUUAACAGAGGGGCAACAACACAGUUGGGUCAGGGAAAGGGGAUGAAGAGAGGAAUGGGAGUAACCAGGUCAUGAGACUUAUUAAGGAAAA